AGUGAACGCUGGCGGUAGGCCUAACACAUGCAAGUCGAACGGCAGCACAGUAAGAGCUUGCUCUUACGGGUGGCGAGUGGCGGACGGGUGAGGAAUACAUCGGAAUCUACUUUUUCGUGGGGGAUCACGUAGGGAAACUUACGCUAAUACCGCAUGCGACCUACGGGUGAAAGCAGGGGAUCUUCGGACCUUGCGCGAUUGAAUGAGCCGAUGUCGGUUUAGCUAGUUGGCGGGGUAAAGGCCCACCAAGGCGACGAUCCGUAGCUGGUCUGAGAGGAUGAUCAGCCACACUGGAACUGAGACACGGUCCAGACUCCUACGGGAGGCAGCAGUGGGGAAUAUUGGACAAUGGGCGCAAGCCUGAUCCAGCCAUACCGCGUGGGUGAAGAAGGCCUUCGGGUUGUAAAGCCCUUUUGUUGGGAAAGAAAAGCAGCAGGUUAAUACCCCGCUGUUCUGACGGUACCCAAAGAAUAAGCACCGGCUAACUUCGUG
rnacentral:rRNA from 1 species